rnacentral:rRNA from 1 species
GACGAACGCUGGCGGCGUGCUUAACACAUGCAAGUCGAGCGGUAAGGCCCUUUCGGGGGUACGACGAGCGGCGAACGGGUGAGUAACACGUGGGUGACCUGCCAUUAGCUCUGGGAUAAGCCUGGGGAAACUGGGUCUAAUACCGGAUAUGACUCCAUGACGCAUGUUGUGGGGUGGAAAGCCUUGUGCGGCUAGGGAUGGGCCCGNGGCCUAUCAGCUUGUUGGUGGGGUNAGUGGCCACCAAGGCGACGACGGGUAGCCGGCCUGAGAGGGCGACCGGCCACACUGGGACUGAGACACGGCCCAGACUCCUACGGGAGGCAGCAGUGGGGAAUCUUGCGCAAUGGGCGAAAGCCUGACGCAGCGACGCCGCGUGA